UGUUUGCACUCAUGCUUGAGAAGUUACUUUACUGACCAUAAAUUUCUUUUCAUUUUUUUUUCUUUCUGAGAUUCUUUUUAAAAAAUUUAAUAUAAUUUUUAUUUUACAUUGGAGUAUAAUUGAUUUGCAAUGUUGUAUUAAUUUCAGGUGAACAGCAAGGUGACUCAUUUAUACAUAUACAUAUGUCCAUUCUUUUUCGGAGUCUUUUCCCAAGUAGGUUAUUAUAGAAUACUGAGUAUAGUACGGAGCCGUGAGGUUCGGGGCCGAGACCCCAGCCCCGAGCCCCGGGCCGGGCUGUUGUGCGCGUUCUCCCGCCGCUGCCGGGCGCCCACGACCAUGCUCCGCGGUUGGGAGGCAGGAACCCAGGCGCCCAGCGACCCCCGGAUACCCACUCCCGGGCCGUGCUGGUACUGAGAUCAAGGCGUCCAGGAUCAAAAGAUCACUGCCUGCCUGCCCCCCUCCGCACCUCCAACUGGCGAGCAGGAGGACCCCAAUCCACCCACCGACCCUGACCUGGUCAUGGCGUCCAGCUCCGGCCUGGCGUGAGGACCCCCGACCCGCGCGAGUCCCUGAUCCAGUACCGAGGACCUGGCUGGGCCCUGGGCACGCACAGGGGCCGUAGCCCCACUGUGUGUGGGAGCCAUGAGGAUCCUGGCUAACAAGACAAGGUGUGUGGGUGUCGUGGAGGGCGGGAUGUGUGUGUGGAGUGAGGGGAAGGGAAGGGCCCAGUGACGAUGGAGCUGAACUGUGCAGACUUGGAGAGCGAGCCCCCCCCCCACCCGCCCCCGCCCCGGGCACCUGGCUUCCAGGUCGCUGGUGGGAUAGAGGAGGGGCAGAAUGGGAAGGCCUGCCGCGAGGCGGGAGCCCACAGCUUUAGUGCCCGGGGACAGAGGGGAAUGGCAACCAGCUAAGCCUGCUGUUCUAGUCCCUUUCUACCCUUUCCUCUUAAAAAGGGUUUGAGUAGACCCCCGCCCACCCCACUGUCGGGUCCAAUGGCGCCCUCUGGCCUCAGUCUAGCUGGGGGUGGGAGCCGGAGGGAGGGGCGGCGCCUGCCUCCCUCCCCUUCCCCAGGAGAAGCCGGCAGACUGGGCCAGGCGGCAGCAGCAGGACAGCAGAGCUGAAAUAAAUCUGAGCUGGUGUGGAAUGAGGGGGGAUAAAUAUCCUCUCCCGUGAUGUGAUCUUUCCAGCGGCUAUUAAUAGGUCUCCGGGGAGGGGGAGGCGGUGGGGGGAGCGGGCUAGAGCUUAAAGGGCCCGCAGCCUAGGCUGCAGGAAUCCUUGGUUUCAGCCUGCUCCGCACACCAGUCCCCUCCCCCCUUCCUCCUGCUCCUGCCUGUCCGCCAGGCCUGCCGGUGGACCCUCUUCAGGCAAUCCCCUCCUGCUCUGGGGAGCGGUCUGGACCAGUGGGUACCACUCUGUGGUGUACUUUUUCCCACUUCCCCAAGGGGGAUGGGGCUGGGGCAUGAGCAGUGACCCUCAGGUCCUGUGCCCCUUCCCAGUUGGUGUUGGGACACACGGAAGUUGAGAUUUGGGGACCUUGGAAGGAGUCCGAAGAUAGCACACCUUUGAAGAGAGGGUGCUUAUGUGUUGGUCAGGUGCUAGUGGAGGGGGGUUGCCAU
ensembl:lncRNA